UACAGAGGGGGCAAGCGUUUGUUCGGAAUUACUGGGCGUAAAGGGCGCGUAGGCGGCCUUUCUAAGUCGAACGUGAAAUCCCUCAGCUUAACUGGGGAACUGCGUCUGAUACUGGAUGGCUUGAGUUUGGGAGAGGGAUGCGGAAUUCCAGGUGUAGCGGUGAAAUGCGUAGAUAUCUGGAGGAACACCGGUGGCGAAGGCGGCAUCCUGGACCAACACUGACACUGAUGAGCGAAAGCCAGGGGAGCAAACGGG
rnacentral:rRNA from 1 species